UAUUAAUGAUGAGGGCACUGAGCAAGUAAUAGAUUGAACUGCUCCCAAGCUUCAAGAAUUAGCUCCCCUUCCAUUUGAGCAAAGGUGCAAAUCUUAUUCCUCAAAUC